AUGAUCAUGAGAAGAUACAAGCUUCGAGAUGAUAUCUGCAACGUGCAACUCUCUGGGAUGAGCUGCAGCGUAGGGCUAAUCACGGUGGGUCUUUCGAAGGACCUCCUGCAGACUGCUCCCUCCGACGCGCAUGCCUUGGUUGUGUCCAUGGAGAUCAUGAAUAGGACCUACUACACUGGGAGGAAGCGUGGAAUGCAGGUGUUCAACAUGUUGUUCCGCAUGGGUGGCUCCGCGGUGCUCCUCUCAACCUCGGGUACCAAAGCUCGUUUUCAGCUAGCGCACAUGAUUCGGACAUGCACCGGGUACCAAGACAAUGCAUACCAAUGUGUGUUCCAUGAGGAAGAUGACAAGGGGAAUCUUGGUCUCAAUUUAUCCAAGAACCUUGUGGACGUCACUGACAAGGCUCUUAGGCUAGCAUCAUCACGGUUGGACCUCUUAUUCUUCCUUUGUCAGUCAAGAUUGCAAUUUUUGUCUCAUCCAUCUCAGAGAAGGGGCUAA
rnacentral:rRNA from 1 species